AACGCACAUUGCGCCUUUUGGUAUUCCGAAAGGCAUGCCUGUUUGAGUGUCAUAUUACCUAGCAGAUGUAGUUUUCUAUAUCUGACUUUUGGACGCUGCCAGCAAUGGCUCGUCUUAAAUGACUAAGUGGAAUGCGUAAUAAGUUUUCGCUCCCUCCACUCUAAUAACUCUUAUGUUAGACCUCAAAUCAGGUAGGACUACCCGCUGAACUUAA
rnacentral:misc_RNA from 1 species